UGCAACUACAAAAAAAAAAAAAGAAGUAAUUUGCUUUAAAUUCCAUAACCAUGACUAUGUCCAUAAAUGAAUCCAACAAAAAAGAAAUAAACCUUCUCUGAGAAAUUUCAACAUUUUUUUGAACAGAUGAACCUGUAUCCCUAUACCCCUCCAAACCUCCAACCAAUUUGGCAUAUCAAUAUCUUACUUGGUUACCCCCUUUUCUUGAUUCCAAUUUCUAAUAUUUCGAUUUUCCGACUUCACUGACUCUAGAUUCUGAAUUCGCGAUUGUCUUUACUAGACAAGAAAAUGCAAACCAGUAUAGCACAAUUUGUUUCCAAACUCUGCAGACAAUUUACAUACAAGGAAUGAUAAAGACCAUCCAAAGGACUUGAUUGAGCUAUGUGCAAACAACUCUGUAACCAAAUUUUGAACUGCAAUAUUCUACAAAAUCGCACUGCCAAUAUUCCCCUGAUCAAGCUUGUAUCGAAUGUUCCCGGAUAGACUCUUUGAGUCCUGUUUGGCAUCUUCAAGAUCUGUAACCUGAACAGCAGUACAUUCCUUCGGAUUAUCAAAUGAAGACAAUGAAAACUGCUUAGAAACAACUCCAACAUCAAAAUAAAUGACCCCAGAACUUGAAGAUGACACAUAAAUUUUCUUAACUUGAAACCACAAAAACAAAUCUUUAGCAGAAAUCCCAGAAAUCAAAUCAAUCUGACCUAAACUCAACCUCCCUGAAACAUUCCUUUCAUAGUGCAAUUCAUUUUCUUUUUUCUCAAAUUUUGAAUUACAAGGUUGAUCUAAAUGAACCACAAAAUUCCCAGAAUUAUCUAAAGUGAAAUUCCUCACACCCUUUGGUAAUAAUCCCAUUGGCAAUCCAUGGGAUUUAAGAACUUCAUAUAUAGAUGAAUCUGCUGAUGUAAAUACACAUAUAGAACACAAAACAAAUGUAAAUAUCACAAAGGAAUUUCCAAGAACCAACAUUUUGGUGUAUUAUACCAAAAAAGAUGUCUUUUUUUUUUGUUAGAGCAUAGAAAGAGUGAAAAAAAAGAUUUGGGGUUUCGAAAAAUUUAUGAAUUUGGGGUUUUAAAAAGUGGGAUUUUUUUUUUGUUGAUAUGAUGGUGGAGGAGAAUAAGAACAUGAA
rnacentral:misc_RNA from 1 species